rnacentral:rRNA from 1 species
UGGGGAAUUUUGGACAAUGGGCGAAAGCCUGAUCCAGCAAUGCCGCGUGUGUGAAGAAGGCCUUCGGGUUGUAAAGCACUUUUGUCCGGAAAGAAAUCCUUGGCUCUAAUACAGUCGGGGGAUGACGGUACCGGAAGAAUAAGCACCGGCUAACUACGUGCCAGCAGCCGCGGUAAUACGUAGGGUGCAAGCGUUAAUCGGAAUUACUGGGCGUAAAGCGUGCGCAGGCGGUUUGCUAAGACCGAUGUGAAAUCCCCGGGCUCAACCUGGGAACUGCAUUGGUGACUGGCAGGCUAGAGUAUGGCAGAGGGGGGUAGAAUUCCACGUGUAGCAGUGAAAUGCGUAGAGAUGUGGAGGAAUACCGAUGGCGAAGGCAGCCCCCUGGGCCAAUACUGACGCUCAUGCACGAAAGCGUGGGGAGCAAACAGGAUUAGAUACCCUGGUAGUCCACGCCCUAAAACGAUGUCAACUAGUUGUUGGGGAUUCAUUUCCUUAGUAACGUAGCUAAUGCGUGAAGUUGACCGCCUGGGGAGUACGGUCGCAAGAUUAAAACUCAAAUGAAUUGACGGGGUCAUAGCUGUUUCCU